UACGUAGGGUCCGAGCGUUGUCCGGAAUUAUUGGGCGUAAAGGGCUCGUAGGCGGUCCGUCACGUCGGGAGUGAAAACUCAGGGCUCAACCCUGAGCGUGCUUCCGAUACGGGCGGACUAGAGGUAUGCAGGGGAGAACGGAAUUCCUGGUGUAGCGGUGGAAUGCGCAGAUAUCAGGAGGAACACCGGUGGCGAAGGCGGGUCUCUGGGCCAUAACUGACGCUGAGGAGCGAAAGCGUGGGGAGCGAACAGG
rnacentral:rRNA from 1 species